rnacentral:rRNA from 1 species
AAAAGAAACCAACAGGGAUUGCCUUAGUAGCGGCGAGUGAAGCGGCAAAAGCUCAAAUUUGAAAUCUGGCACUUUCAGUGUCCGAGUUGUAAUUUGAAGAAGGUAUCUUUGGGUCUGGCUCUUGUCUAUGUUUCUUGGAACAGAACGUCACAGAGGGUGAGAAUCCCGUGCGAUGAGAUGACCCAGACCUAUGUAAAGUUCCUUCGAAGAGUCGAGUUGUUUGGGAAUGCAGCUCUAAGUGGGUGGUAAAUUCCAUCUAAAGCUAAAUAUUGGCGAGAGACCGAUAGCGAACAAGUACAGUGAUGGAAAGAUGAAAAGAACUUUGAAAAGAGAGUGAAAAAGUACGUGAAAUUGUUGAAAGGGAAGGGCUUGAGAUCAGACUUGGUAUUUUGUAUGUUACUCUCUCGGGGGUGGCCUCUACAGUUUACCGGGCCAGCAUCAGUUUGGGCGGUAGGACAAUUGCAAAGAAAUGUGGCACUGCCUCGGUAGUGUGUUAUAGUCUUUGUCGAUACUGCCAGCCUAGACUGAGGACUGCGGCUUCGGCC